rnacentral:rRNA from 1 species
AGUGGUAGGGAAGAGAAUCGGACCGACCGUCGGGAGCUGUUACAGGUGUUGCAUGGCUGUCGUCAGCUCGUGUCGUGAGAUGUUCGGUUAAGUCCGCUAACGAGCGCAACCCGCGUUGUGUGUUAUAUGUGUCACACAAUACCGCCGGUAUUAAGCCGGAGGAAGGUGCGGAUGACGUCAAGUCAGCAUGACCUUUAUAUCCAGGGCUACACACACGCUACAAUGGACAGUACAACAGGUUGCCAAGCCGCGAGGCGGAGCCAAUCCUCUAAAGCUGUCCUCAGUUCAGAUUGCAGGCUGCAACUCGCCUGCAUGAAGUUGGAGUUGCUAGUAACCGCAGGUCAGCUAUACUGCGGUGAAUACGUUCCCGGGCCUU